UACGUAGGGCGCAAGCGUUAUCCGGAAUUAUUGGGCGUAAAGAGCUCGUAGGCGGUUUGUCGCGUCUGCCGUGAAAGUCCGGGGCUUAACUCCGGAUCUGCGGUGGGUACGGGCAGACUUGAGUGAUGUAGGGGAGACUGGAAUUCCUGGUGUAGCGGUGAAAUGCGCAGAUAUCAGGAAGAACACCGAUGGCGAAGGCAGGUCUCUGGGCAUUAACUGACGCUGAGGAGCGAAAGCAUGGGGAGCGAACAGG
rnacentral:rRNA from 1 species